AUCCAGACUCCUACGGGAGGCAGCAGUGGGGGAUAUUGCACAAUGGGGGGAACCCUGAUGCAGCGACGCCGCGUGGGUGAAGGAGCGUUUCGGCGCGUAAAGCCCUAUCGGCAGGGAAGAAGGAGGACGGUACCUGACUAAGAAGCCCCGGCUAACUACGUGCCAGCAGCCGCGGUAAUACGUAGGGGGCAAGCGUUAUCCGGAAUUACUGGGUGUAAAGGGAGAGUAGGCGGCAAGGUAAGCGAUAUGUGAAAGCCUUAGGCUUAACCUGAGGAUUGCAUAACGAACUAUCUAGCUAGAGUACAGGAGAGGAAAGCGGAAUUCCUAGUGUAGCGGUGAAAUGCGUAGAUAUUAGGAAGAACACCAGUGGCGAAGGCGGCCUGCUGGACAGCAACUGACGGUGAGGCGCGAAAGCGUGGGGAGCAAACAGGAUUAGAUACCCGUGUAC
rnacentral:rRNA from 1 species